rnacentral:lncRNA from 1 species
CAAUUCUCCCAUCUCCCUCGCCCGCUCUCUCCUCCGCACGAGUCCGAAGCACUGCCGCCAUGGUCUCCGUUGAUCCUGCGGCCACCGAGCCCUCCUCGCCUCGCUGAUAUGUCCAGGGGAUCCGUCGUAGUCUGCUUCGUCUUCCUCGCCCACGAGCUCAAGCCCGGAGCCUCCACAUCGACUGGAUCGACGCCAUCAUCUUCCUCGGCCGUCGCCGUUGUUCUUCACCGAUCCGUCACCUCUGCAGCUCCUAAGCCCCCAACGGGCCUCCGUAUGCCUUCGUGGUGAGUUCCUCGUCACUUCCCCUCUUGCCGCGCAUCGAUUCCGUGCCUCCUGUUGCUGCUGCCAUGGUCGCCGGAGAUCAGUGCCGCCACCGUGUUAACCGUCACUGCUAUUGUGCUCCUUUGGCCCAACCAAGUGCGCCACCCCGCUCGUGGUCUUGCGUAGAAGCUGCUCGUGCCCUUGGUGCGUCACCUGCGUGCCCGUGGCUUCGAUCUACAUCGAGCCCAAGCCCCUGCGUGCAUUGCUGACGCCUCCGCGUGUGCCCACUUGUGCGCGGCCUCGCCUCUCCGCCCGCGCCGGCCGGCCGGGGCCGCUGCUUGCCGGGGCCAUGCCCUGCUCGGUCGCCCGCGCCUGCUAGCUUGGCCGCCAGCAGCUGCUGCCGAUACUGCCCGUUGCUGCUUGUUGCCUCUGCCGCUGAGCUGAUGCUCUGCCACCGCUGUGUUCUGUAGUUGCUCUGCUCCUUUGCUAGCUGUGGUGAUAGUGAUACUGCCCCUAGCUGUUGCUUGCUACUCUUGCCCACUACUGCAAGUUGUUGGCCGUGGCCACCAUGCACUCUCGUGCGUGCGUGCCCAAGCACACCAGUGGCCGGUUUGGGCCCUGUUUAAGACUAGAUGCUAAUUAGUGGUUAGGUUAGUACAGAUGACAUGUGGGUUCCCUGAGAUUAAAAUAAAUAACCAAAGUUAAUUUAGUUACUUUCAAUGACAGCUGGGUCCCGUGGUACUGUUUAUAUGUUGACCAAUCAACCCUUGAAUGGGUCAACCCAUCCCCAUUGGCCCCACUGUCAUACGCUGUAGCUAGAAUGGCAGUAGGUGACAAGAGUAUUUCCUGUUUUAAUUUCGAUUUAAUAAUAAAACCAGAAAUUUCAUAAAAUGGUUUAAAGCUUUGAAAAUUAAUAUAAAAAUAUCCGUAACUCGGAUGAAAAUACUUUGUACAUGAAAGUUGCUCAGAACGACGAGACGAAUCCGAAUAUGCAGUCCGUUCGUCCGCCACACAUCCCUAGCAUAGUGAACACGCAACUUUCCGCCUCCAGUUCAUCUGUCCGAAAACACGAUACACCGGGGAUACUUUCCCGGUUGUUUUCCCCCUUCGUCGGUAUCACCUCGUACCGUGUUAGGGCACACCUAGCACCGCGUAUUGCUCUGUUAUGCUUUGUGAUGCUUUGAUUGCUCUGUUAUUUAUUGUGUUCCCCCUCCGCUACUUCUUUCCGGUAGACCCCGAGACCGUUGCCGAUACCCCCGAGAUCGACUACAUCGACGACCACCCCUCCUUCUUGCCAGAGCAACCAGGCAAGCCCCCCCCCUUGAUCACCAGAUAUCGCCUAUUCUUCUCUAUACUGCUUGCAUUAGAGUAGUGUAGCAUGUUACUGCUUUCCGAUAUCCCAUCCUGAUGCAUAGCCUAUCCUUGCUACUACUGUUGUUACCUUUACCUGCAAUCCUACAUGCUUAGUAUAGGAUGCUAGUGUUCCAUCAGUGGCCCUACACUCUUGUCCGUCUGCCAUGCUAUACUACUGGGCCGUGAUCACUUUGGGAGGUGAUCACGGGUAUAUACUAUAUACAUUAUAUACAUGACACAUGUGGUAACUAAAGUCGGGUCGGCUCGAGGAGUACCCGCAAGUGAUUCUGAUGAGGGGGCUGAAAGGACAGGUGGCUCCACCCCGGUAGAGGUGGGCCUGGGUUCCUGACGGCCCCCGACUGUUACUUUGUGGCGGAGCGACAGGGCAGGUUGAGACCACCUAGGAGAGAGGUGGGCCUGGCCCUGGUCGGCGUUCGCAGAUACUUAACACGCUUAACGAGUUCUGGGUAUUUGAUCUUUGUCUGGCCAUUUGGUCUGUACGCACUAACCAUCUACGCGGGAGUAGUUAUGGGUGUCCCGGCGUCGUGGUAUCAGCCGAAGCCUUCAUGACGUCAGCGACUGAGUGGCGCGCGCCGGAUUGGACUGGAACGCCACUAGGCUAGGUCUGCUUCCGGCCGCGUACGCAACGUGCAGGUGUGCAUAGGGCGAUGGGCCCAGACCCCUGCGCGCAUAGGAGUUAGACCGGCGUGCUGACCUCUCUAUUGUGCUUAGGUGGGGCUGCGACGUGUUGAUCUUACGAGGCCGGGCAUGACCCAGGAAAGUGUGUCCGGCCAAAUGGGAUCGAGCGGGUUGGGUUAUGUGGUGCACCCCUGCAGGGAAGUUCAUCUAUUCGAAUAGCCGUGUCCCUCAGAAAAAGGACGACCCGGAGUUGUACCUUGACCUUAUGACAACUAGAACUGGAUACUUAAUAAAACACACCCUUCCAAGUGCCAGAUAUAACCCGGUGGUCGCUCUCUAACAGGGUGACGAGGAGGGGAUCGCCGGGUAGGAUUAUGCUAUGCGAUGCUACUUGGAGGACUUCAAUCUACUCUCUUCUACAUGCUGCAAGAUGGAGAUGGCCAGAAGCGUAGUCUUCGACAGGACUAGCUAUCCCCCUCUUAUUCUGACAUUCUGCAGUUCAGUCCACCGAUAUGCCCCUUUACACAUAUACCCAUGCAUAUGUAGUGUAGCUCCUUGCUUGCGAGUACUUUGGAUGAGUACUCACGGUUGCUUUUCUCCCUCUUUUCCCCUUUCUAUACCGGAUUGUCGCAACCAG